UAGCAGAAUUCAGUGAAUCAUUCGAAUCUUUCGAACGCACCUUGCCGCUCCUUGGGUAUUCCGAGGAGCAUGCCUGUUUGAGUGUCAUU
rnacentral:rRNA from 1 species